ensembl:lncRNA
ACACUACUGGGCAUGGCUGAGUAACUGAGCGUGCAUACAGUGUCCAUGCUGAGUAACCAGCUCUCUCAUCAGCACUUCAUUAGCCACGGCAACCGCAGACCAAACGCGUCUAUUGACAAGGCUCAGCUCACCGGGGGACCCAAUUCGAUCCCUGGUUGAGGAUAAGAUCCCACAUGUCGUGUGGCCAAAAACAAUCAAAAACAGACAAGCAAAAAAACUAUGGUGCCUAUUUGAGGAACUUGAUGAAAUGGGAUGAUUCUCAAAGAAACAUGACAAGUGGGACAAAAUCCCAGCUAAUGAAGCAGACCCUCUUCCUGAAGUUCUAAGAAUUCCUACCUCCAGCCUAGACUGGUAUACUUAGCUGUCUACUUGACAUCUUCGCUUUAGACAUCUACUUUUAAACUUAGCUUGUUCAAAAUUGACCUUCCC